rnacentral:rRNA from 1 species
UACGAAGGGGGCUAGCGUUGUUCGGAUUUACUGGGCGUAAAGCGCACGUAGGCGGAUUGUUAAGUCAGGGGUGAAAUCCUGGAGCUCAACUCCAGAACUGCCUUUUGAUACUGGCAAUCUUGAGUCCGGAAGAGGUGAGUGGAACUCCUAGUGUAGAGGUGGAAUUCGUAGAUAUUAGGAAGAACACCAGUGGCGAAGGCGGCUCACUGGCCCGAUACUGACGCUGAGGCACGAAAGCUAGGGGAGCAAACAGG